rnacentral:rRNA from 1 species
CCCCUAGAUGUUCUGGGCCGCACGCGCGCUACACUGAACAGUUCAACAAGUCUUAACCUUGGCCGAUAGGUCUGGGUAAUCUUUGAACGCUGUUCGUGAUUGGGAUAGACCUUUGCAAUUAUGGGUCUUCAACGAGGAAUUCCUAGUAAACGCAAGUCAUCAGCUUGCAUUGAUUACGUCCCUGCCCUUUGUACACACCGCCCGUCGCACCUACCGAUCGAAUGGUCCGGUGAAAUCUCGGGACGGCGGCUUGGUCGCUUGCGUCCGACUGCUGAAACUUGAUUAAACCAUAUCAUUUAGAGGAAGGUGAANUCGUANCA